rnacentral:rRNA from 1 species
CAGUCGCCGCGGUAAAACGUAGGGUGCAAGCGUUGUCCGGAAUUACUGGGCGUAAAGAGUUCGUAGGCGGUUUGUCGCGUCGUUUGUGAAAACCAGCAGCUCAACUGCUGGCUUGCAGGCGAUACGGGCAGACUUGAGUACUGCAGGGGAGACUGGAAUUCCUGGUGUAGCGGUGAAAUGCGCAGAUAUCAGGAGGAACACCGGUGGCGAAGGCGGGUCUCUGGGCAGUAACUGACGCUGAGGAACGAAAGCGUGGGUAGCGAACAGGAUUAGAUACCCCCGUAGUCCCUGUCUCUUAUAC